rfam:Trichobilharzia regenti genome assembly, scaffold: TRE_scaffold0004781
GUACUGAUGAAGAGUCUCAAAAUAGGACGAAACAGUUGUCCCGUAC